CCUACGGGAGGUAGCAGUGGGGAAUAUUGCACAAUGGGGGAAACCCUGAUGCAGCAACGCCGCGUGAGUGAAGAAGUAUUUCGGUAUGUAAAGCUCUAUCAGCAGGGAAGAAGAAAGACGGUACCUGACUAAGAAGCCCCGGCUAACUACGUGCCAGCAGCCGCGGUAAUACGUAGGGGGCAAGCUUUGUCCGGAUUUACUGGGUGUAAAGGGCGUGUAGCCGGGUUGACAAGUCAGAUGUGAAAUCCUGCGGCCUAACCGCAGAACUGCAGUUGAAACUGGUGAUCUUGAGUACUGGAGAGGCAGACGGAAUUCGUAGUGUAGCGGUGAAAUGCGUAGAUAUUGGGAGGAACACCAGUGGCGAAGGCGGUCUGCUGGACAGAAACUGACGGUGAGGCGCGAAAGCGUGGGGAGCAAACAGGAUUAGAUACCCGGGUAGUC
rnacentral:rRNA from 1 species